GUUUGCAGCUCCCGGAGCGCUCAGGCAGCCAGUCCCAGGGCACUGGUCUCCGGCCCUCGCCGGGACUCUCGGACGCUGGGCCCAGGAAACUCCCUGGGCCCCAGCGGCGCGCCCGGGAGCAGCACCGCCUCGGGGGCAGUAGGCCUGGCGGCAGCCCCCGCAUUCCCGCCAACGCCGCCCGGCAGCGCCCGGAGCCGGCCCCGCCGCUGCCGCCCCAUUCCCGGCCCAAGAGCUGGCCUAGGGAGACGCAAUCGAGCCCGCAGCGCAUCGAUGCGCCGCCGCCCGCGCCUCCCCGGCUCCCGCUCAGUCGGCGCCGCUGGGGGGUCGUCCCAGUGAGCUCCGGCCCACCAGCGCCCUAGCCGCCGCCCCUUGCCUGUUGCCGACGCCGCCGCUCCAGCCGCGCAGCGGGCAUAAGACUGGACCGCCGAGCCCCGGGCCGCGGCGGCGGCGGCUGAGCGCCCCCUCCGAUGCCGUGACCCCCUGCCCGGGGGCGGGGGCCGGGGCUUCACCGGCCCGGGCCGCUCCCGCGCUCCUCCUCCCACCCCUCUGCCCGCCUUCUCCCCCUCUCCCCGCCCCCCGGCCCUGAACCCCGCGCACCUCGUCUGGGGACGGGGCGGGGGGGGGGCAGGGCCGCCGCUCCUCCCCGCCCCCUCCUCCUCCGGCCUCUGGAGCGGUUUGUCAAACUUCCCAAUCCGCCGGCAGCGCGGUCCUCCUCCUCCUCCUCCUUCACCACCUCCUCCUCCUCUGCCUCCUCCUCCCCCCGCGCUCCUCCCUCCCCGCGCCUCCCUCUCCCGCCCUCCUUCUUCCCUCCGCACGUUCGGGGAUCGCGGCGGAGCGCGGAGCGGGGGGGACGCGGAGAGCCGGGGCUCAGCAGCAUCCUGCGGGCGGCCGCUCUCCGGGGGGGAGGCUGAGAGCCGGCCCGCCUCGCCCCCCCCGCGGGCCCGCCGCCCCUCCCUCCCUCUCCUCAGCCCGGCAGCGGCGGCGGCGGCGGCAGCGGCAGUCGCCGGAGGAGCAUCAUGCCGAGGAGGAAGCAGCAGGCGCCCCGGCGCGCAGCAGCAGCCCUGGGAAUACCUGGCAUCGCCGUCCCCUUUUACAGAUGAGGACACUGAGGCUUGAAGGCAAUGAGAUGGAGAGGCCAGGAUGCAGAGGGGAUGGCCACGCUGCCCACCUCCUAGCUCACCUCUUUGCCCUGUGUGGACCUUCAACAGUAUCUCAUCUUCCGGUACUCCUGCUUGGCCCGUGGACCCCGCGCAUUGGUGUGGAGCCUAUGAAGACUCAGAAGCUUUUGUAACUUGCCCAAGUCCUCCAGCUGCUCACGACAGAGUGGAAGAAUCUCGCGGAAGGGCCCGUGAGAUCCUAGGGUCCGUUAGCAUCAUGCCAUCUGCACCACCGAGAGCCACCACCUCACCCAAACCUUUUCCCUGGGUUUAUUCUCCUUCUGGCCCUGAGCACUGGACCCACAGGCCAAUCCAUUCAUCAUUGUAGCAGAUAUUUGCAAGCCACCCUGGAUGCCAGUACCUGGGAUCAGCAUUAUAACAAAAAGAAAAACAAAAUGCAUGUGGAAUGGCCCCAAAUCCCUUGGAGCUCACAUGCUUGGGGAGAUGAAGGAAGACUGUGAUUUUCUUCCUCUGGUGACCCCACGCUCUCUGCUUUGAUUCACUCAAAUCUGAGUCUUCACUUUUCCAUCCAUUGGCAUCUGAAAAGUAGCUUAUAGGGAAGAGAGGCUCAUUAUCUGGGACCAGGAUGGGGGACAGACAGGAGAGAGGGUUGGGGCACUAAAGUAGAGGCUUGGCAGACUGUGAUGUGACAGCGUGAUGAAUGGGACCCCGGGUUCUGGGGAUGGGGGAGACGUUGCUCAAGCCCAAAGAAGGAAAAUGAACUUGUGUGUGUUUUCCUGUAAUCACAGAUUGCUCUGAGGGCACCAGGUUCCUGGAGCAUGUGUUUUGUAGUCAUUGGAACAAAUUGAGUGGAUGUAUAUUGAGCAUCUGCUCUGGCCAGUGCUGGAAGGUGCAGUGGGUACCCAGAUAGGAAGUCCUCAAGGAGGUCAGAGUGUGGAGGAUACAGCAGACAGAAACAGGUAAUUCUGAUGUGGGUACCAUGUUGGAGAAGGAAGUAAGCAGGAUGGGAGCACAGAGGAUGGAUGCCUCACUCAUCCCAGGAGGCGAGAGAAAACUAGGAAUGGCUUCUUGAAAGGAGGGUGCCCAAGCUGAGUCUUAAGGGAAUAAUAUGCCAACAACAGUCUUGAGAACCAUCUUUCCUCUUUGUGCCCCAUUGUCUAGUGCUUUGCAAGACAAGCUACACUGGGAUAACUAGGGGAGUGCUAUGCUUUCUACACUCAUUAUUUCCUACCUAGACUUCCUGGUCUGGGGACUACUUCCAGAACUUUCUUGAUUCCUCUGCUAAUCCAGAAUGUUCGUUCUUGUUGACUUGAUGGUUCCAAAGCCAUGAAAUCACCCAGAUGUGAUCUUCCUCAAAGUGAGUCUCCAUUCAGGGCCCCUGCUCCAUCAGGGGGUGGAGGUGCCCUGCCUUGGGGUCCUGUACUUAGAAUAUAUUCUGUCCACAUGGUUGCAGACAAGGUACAGCCCAACUGGUCUGAGCCCAGCUAGAGGCCACAUUCCUCCUUGCAGGCAAGGAGUUCAGAAUCUGUGCCCUCUCUCCCUUCCAUCCUUCUUUUACCACCCACCCACCUGCCUCAUCCUCUCCGGGGGUCAGCCCGAACCCCGUUACCAGCAUGGGUGUUGGUGGCACUGGGAGGCCUUAGGAUGGACAAGUCCUGAACCCAGGGCACUGAAUAAAUGGUUGUCCACUGACAUGCUCUCUGCUGGAAUGACCAGAGACACUGUGUGUAUCUUCAUGCCAAGCAAAACUCCAGUCAGCCUGUAUUCCAGAGGCAGCGGGGAAGAGCAGCAGGCCCUACAGAUUAACAGCGUCCUGGUCAUCAGCUCACAGAAGGGGAGCUCCAGGGCCAGCCUUGGAGAAGAUGGCAGGCGGCCAUCUUAGGAUGGCUCUUGGUGGUGCAGAUGGCCCUGUCGUGGGGGGUGGGCCCCAACUGCAGAGGUAGGAGGUUUGGAUUCUGGUCUCAGCUCUGCUGUUAACUCCCUGGGGUGCCUUCCGGCAUUUCUGUCCCUUCUUUGGGCCUUGUUUCCUCCUUUAUCAAAUGAAGUGUUGGACUUGGUGCCUAUCUGUAAGAUCCCUGGUACCUCCUUUGCUCUAGAAUAACAUGAUUCUGAGUAGCCACAGCCAGAAUUUCUGCAGGGGUCUUUUGAUGGUGUGUCCCUGUUGCUCUCUGCUCCCAAGCAAGAGCAUCGCUUGGGUGGAGACCACUGAGCAGGGCAGAUUCCUGGCACAAAGUGGGUGGAGGAUUGCUGUCUCUGGUGCACAUGGGCAUCAGGCUAUCAGAGAAUGACUACUGGGUUAGCUGUCACUUUACCAUACCCCUGGGUUCCCACAGAGCUCUCAACCGCCCAGGGAAGGAAGCAGACCCUGGAAGCACCCAAACCUCCAUUUCCAGGAAGGAUGGAGAGCCAGUCUCACAGGGAUGGAGCCCAUAUUGUUGGUCCAACUGGAGAAGGGAACAAACAGUUGGACCGGUUGUGCCCCCCAAGCUGUGGGCUCCCUGGCAGUGACUUCUGAGCUGUCUCUCUUUUGCUUGUUGGGUGAAAGUUCCAAUGCAUUUUACUUUUUUUGACUUGAUUAAGGACACAAUAAACCCUGGCCAUGAUUUUUAAUCUACUGGCAGUAAUAUCUCUCAGUUCUAAUUUCAGGGAUUAGCUUGUUUUCAAAACACGAAAUGAAGGACAAACCUUGUCCCAUAGUUGCCUAGCCUUGCCGACACAGCCGUAACCGCCACCCACCAUUGACAGACAAGCUGCUAGCCACACCUGCGUGUCAGUACCAUGGGAAGAAGCCCCGAGACCAUCGGAGUGAGAGGCAGAGCAUUAGAGAUUUCAAUUCUGCUUUAUUUUCAACUUGAAAUGGAGGAAAACAGACAAAAAACAAAUAAGAAAGCUAAACAGUUGCGUGAGAGCUAGCAAUUUGCUGGGUUUCCGAUGACAGACACUGCAUUAUCAUAAUUGUCUCUUCUACAUGAUAGGACAGAAAAAUAAUAAUGUCAUUUUAUUUAUAGCUGGGGUGGCCCCUUUAUGAGAGUCAUAUAAGUUUCUGCCAAGUGGAGUAGGUCAAAUGACAUCUUUUGAUCAGGCCUGUCCAAAGAGAUCAAAGAUGAAUGGCAGGUAAUGGAUACCCAAUGACAAACCAAAUCUAAAACAGAAAUAAGGCUGCCAGGGCCUGCCAGUUACCCAUUAAAGGCCCGCCUAAGGAAGGCAGGCUGCUUGACACGUUGGCCGAACACCUAAAUCAGCUAAGCGUCAGUGCUAAAAUUGUGUAUUAUCAUUGGAAAUGGCUAUUAUGUCCUCGGUAACAUUUCUGUUAAGGCUUUGUUUGUGUACGACUGACCCGCAGUCAGAAGUGGAGUUGGAAGGAGGCAAGCCCAAGGGGCUGAUAGGGCACCCUUGGCUUUGGCCAUUACCUGGUUUUAACUGUGGGAUCCUGAUGGGGCAUCACCCCUGCCCCUGCAUUCUGCUCAGGCGGAGAGAUGUUACGUUUACAGGUAGGAGGGUGGGCUGGCCCCUUGGCCCUGACCUGCAUGUCUCUGUAUCCUCUGCAUCGCUCCAUCUUCUCCUGUCUUCCCAGACGUAUGCACUUGGGCCCAUCACAGGCCACACAAAGCCCAGAACUUUCCCAGAAUACAGGGUGAGCAGAAGCCCAAGCAGAUGGAAAAAAGAACAAUGACACCAGUUCCUACCCAGGCUGAGGGAGCAGGGUGGACACUGGCUGUUCAUGCAGUCAGCACUACAGUUUACACAUACAGAAAUGGGUAGAGACAGCUUCCAAAAUUAUGGAAAUAAAUGCUAUUUUUUUCCCUUGAGUUAUGUAAUUAAGUUGGGCUUUGUAGAGAUGUUAUUUAAAAGGCUUUGGUGGGAAACAAAAUUUACUAUCUUUUCUUGUUUUUGUUUUUAAUUUGCGGGGGUGGGACGGGGUGAAAUACAAAGAAAUAUUCAAAGAAAUAUUUGGAAACAAGGGCUCCAGAAACUGCAGGAGAGAACUCUAAAUCCUCCUGUCCCAGGGGAUGCACAGGUGGUGCUGUGGGUAAUUUUUUAUUCUGCAGCGUAUGCUGCAAUGUUAAAAAAUAUUAUUAAACAUUGAAAUGAGUACACUA